rnacentral:lncRNA from 1 species
UUCCGUUCAGCCAGCAUUAGGGUUUUAAACCCUAAACUGAGCUUUUUCAUGCAAUCAGCAUUAGGGUUUUAAACCCUAAACUGAAUUUUCCUUUUAGUCAGCAUUAGGGUUUUAAACCCUAAGCUGAACUUUUUUCCAUUCAGCCAGCAUUAGGGUUUUAAACACUAAACUGAGCUUUUCCAUGUAGUCAGCAUUAGGGUUUUAAACCCUAAACUGAACUUUGUUCCAUUCAGCCAGCAUUAGAGUUUUAAACCCUAAACUGAGCUUUUUCAUGCAAUCAGCAUUAGGGUUUUAAACCCUAAACUGAAUUUUCCUUUUAGUCAUCAUUAGGGUUUUAAACCCUAAACUGAACUUUUUCCAUUUAGCCAACAUUAGGGUUUUAAACCCUAAACUGAGCUUUUCCAUGUAAUCAGCAUUAGGGUUUUAAACCCUAAACUGAAUUUUCCUUUUAGUCAGCAUUAGGGUUUUAAACCCUAAACAGAACUUUUUCCUUUCAAUCAGCAUUAGGG